UUAAGGUAAUAAAUCAUGGCAGGGGUUGUUACACGUCGUCGAGCUGAAACAUCUUCACCACUGAUUUCUCCAGUUCCAAGAGAACAAACUCGAUUCAAAAGCACAUGUUCGACACAUAAACAUUCAUACAAAAUGCAGCUAUUCUAUGUCACUUUUGAAUUCGGGCCAUCUGAGCUUAACCUUUUCAAACUUAUUUCGGAGGAGUAAUACUAUGCUUGGAAAGAAACAAAUGAAAC